rnacentral:rRNA from 1 species
ACACGCAUGACACACUGCAUAUCAAUAAGCGGAGGAAAAGAAACUAACUAGGAUUCCCUCAGUAACGGCGAGUGAAGCGGGAAGAGCUCAAAUUUGAAAUCUUCAAGGUUCUACCUUGACGAAUUGUAGUUUAAAGAAGUGUUUUCUGUUGGAGUUUUGGUAAAAGUUCUUUGGAAUAGGACAUCAUAGAGGGUGAGAAUCCCGUAUUUGACCAUUAUCUUCCAACUUUGUGAUACACUUUCAAAGAGUCGGAUUGUUUGGGAAUGCAGUCCAAAAUGGGUGGUAAAUUUCAUCUAAAGCUAAAUAUUGGCGAGAGACCGAUAGCGAACAAGUACCGUGAGGGAAAGAUGAAAAGAACUUUGAAAAGAGAGUUAAACAGUACGUGAAAUUGUCAAAAGGGAAGCGUUUGACACCAGUGUUGUUUUCUCGAAAAUCAAUUAAAAAUGGACCUGGGAUGUUGUGUUGUAUUGACUUUAUCAGCUUUCUGCACUUUUUUCUUGUCUUUUUUAAUGCACUUUUCGUUUAACAAGUCAACAUCAAUUUCUUUUGUUGUAAAAGGGUCAUUGGAAGGUGGCUUUCAUUUCGGUGAAAGUGUUUAUAGCCUUUGACUUCUGCAAUCGGAGAGAUUGAGGUCUGCAGCGUAGAUCCUUCGGGGUUAGAUACAUUUGUGCUAAGUUAUAGUUUUUCAUAGACAACAUGUUGACUAUGAUUAAUCAUGUAGCUUACUCGCUUAUGCUAUUUUACCUACGCUUAGGAUGUUGAGUCGUAGAGCACGCAG